GACGAACGCUGGCGGCGUGCUUAACACAUGCAAGUCGAACGGAAAGGCCCUGCUUUUGUGGGGUUCUCGAGUGGCGAACGGGUGAGUAACACGUGAGUAACCUGCCCUUGACUUUCGUAUAACUUCAGGAAACUGGGGCUAAUAUCGGAUAGGAGCUCCUGCUGCAUGGUGGGGGUUGGAAAGUUUCGGCGGUUGGGGAUGGACUCGCGGCUUAUCAGCUUGUUGGUUGGGUAGUUGCUUACCAAGGCUUUGACGGGUAGCCGGCCUGAGAGGGUGACCGGGCACAAGGGGACUGAGAGAGGGACCAGACGCGUACGGGAGGCAGCAGUGGGGAAUAUUGCACAAUGGGCGGAAGCGUGAGGCAGAAACGCCGGGUGCGGGAUGACGGCCUUCGGGUUGUAAACCGCUUUCGCCUGUGACGAAGCGUGAGUGACGGUAAUGGGUAAAGAAGCACCGGCUAACUACGUG
rnacentral:rRNA from 1 species